UACGAAGGGGGCUAGCGUUGCUCGGAAUUACUGGGCGUAAAGCGCACGUAGGCGGCUUUCUAAGUCGGGGGUGAAAUCCUGGAGCUCAACUCCAGAACUGCCUUCGAUACUGGAGAGCUCGAGUCCGGGAGAGGUGAGUGGAACUGCGAGUGUAGAGGUGAAAUUCGUAGAUAUUCGCAAGAACACCGGUGGCGAAGGCGGGUCUCUGGGGCCGAUACUGACGCUGAGGAGCGAAAGCGUGGGGAGCGAACAGG
rnacentral:rRNA from 1 species